UCGGGAAUUUUGCGCAAUGGACGAAAGUCUGACGCAGCAACGCCGCGUGAGGGAUGAAGGCCUUCGGGUUGUAAACCUCUUUUGUCAGGGACGAUGAUGACGGUACCUGACGAAUAAGCCACGGCUAACUACGUGCCAGCAGCCGCGGUAAUACGUAGGUGGCAAGCGUUGUCCGGAUUUACUGGGCGUAAAGAGCGCGCAGGCGGUCGUUCAAGUCGCGUGUGAAAGCCCCCGGCUCAACUGGGGAGGGUCACGCGAUACUGAUCGACUCGAAGGCAGGAGAGGGUAGUGGAAUUCCCGGUGUAGUGGUGAAAUGCGUAGAUAUCGGGAGGAACACCAGUGGCGAAGGCGACUACCUGGCCUGUUUCUUGACGCUGAGGCGCGAAAGCUAGGGGGAGCAAAACGGGAUUAGAUACCCCGGGUAGUCCCUAGCCGUAAACGAUGGACACUAGGUGUUGGUGGUAUCAACCCCGCAGUGCCGAAGCUAACGCAUUAAGUGUCCCG
rnacentral:rRNA from 1 species